GACGAACGCUGGCGGCGUGCUUAACACAUGCAAGUCGAACGGAAAGGCACUGCUUUUGUGGGGUGCUCGAGUGGCGAACGGGUGAGUAACACGUGAGUAACCUGCCCUUGACUUUGGGAUAACUUCAGGAAACUGGGGCUACUACCGGAUCGGAGCUCCUGCUGCAUGGUGUGGGUUGGAACGUUUCGGCGGGUGGGGAUGGACUCGCGGCUUACCAGCUUGUUGGUGGGGUAGUGGCUUACCCAGGCUUUGACGGGUAGCCGGCCUGAGAGGGUGACCGGCCACAUUGGUACUGAGAUACGGCCCAGACUCCUACGGGGGGCAGCAGUGGGAAAUAUUGCACAAUGGGCGGAAGCCUGAUGCAGCAACGCCGCGUGCGGGAUGACGGCCUUCGGGUUGUAAACCGCUUUCGCCUGUGACGAAGCGUGAGUGACGGUAAUGGGUAAAGAAGCACCGGCUAACUACGUG
rnacentral:rRNA from 1 species